CUUCAGACGACCAAAUGGUUGAACAAGUCCCUCAAGACAAACCAUUUGACGCCUUCCUGCUCUAUGAAUACUCAUAAAGAUCCUGCGAAUUUGCUGCCCUAAAACCAUCAGAAAUGAUGUUCUAUUGCAAUGGACAAAUCAACUGCCAGCUGAAGUAGAGAUGAUUAACAGUGUUCUAACAGAAAAAAGGACCACCUUUCUGAAUAUGCAAAUAAAAAAUUUAUACGAUGUCAGAAUCACAUGCUAAUUAUUGAAUUGCUUCGUUGUUUAAAAUAUUUAGUCUAUUAUGCAUUUUUUUUGGUUUAGUAUCCCUCUAAAGGCUAUUUCACAGGUAUUUGUAAAGAAAUUUGUUGAAUGGUUAAAAAAUGUCCACGAGUUGAAUGUGAGAAGUGUCAAAAUCUGUUGUUCAAACGCCGUGAAAUUUUUUAAAUCAGUAAAUGAGAUAUAUUGUAUAAUGUCAACAACUAUAAAACUUACGUUGAAUUAGAGGGCUUAAAAUUAACUUUUUAAUGGUACAGAGCUUAUUACAUUACGAGCCCUUUUUAUUAUAUAAACUAUGAAGUGAAAAGUUACUAGCAGAUAAUUUUUUUAGUUUUUUAAAAAGUUAAGCAUGUUUCAAGAAAUAAUUUACGAUGAUAUCAAUGUAAAAGGUAUACUGAAUAAAUCAGUUCAAACUGAAA